AACAAAAUGCCGACCGGAAGUGCAGCGGCAGGAAUGACUCCCUCCACCGGCGCCAAACACCAGCAACCUCCCCCUUCCCUCACUGCCUCCUCCUCGCCCGGUCGCUCCCUCGCUCCACCAGCGCCGCUUCCGCCGCUGCAGCUGGAGGGGCUCCCUUGCCUCGCCUCUCCUGACAGAGCCUCCCCUGCCUAGCUCCUCUCCUUUCCACACCCCUCCGGCUGCUGCACGACUUUCUUUUUAAUUUUUUUCUUUUUUUCGUUUUCCCCCCCCCCCCCCCCGGGGGGGGGGGGGGGGGGGGGGGGGGGGGGGGGGGGGGGGGGGGGGGGGGGGGGGGGGGGGGGGGGGGGGGGGGGGGGGGGGGGGGGGGGGGGGGGGGGGGGGGGGGGGGGGGGGGGGGGGGGGGGGGCCCCCCCCUCCCGCCUUUUGGUGCGCGGAACGAGACCGAAGUUUACGCUUAAGCCUGCGCUGAGGAUUUAUGAAGAAGGGACCGUUGGAAAAAGAAUACACGUUUUGGUGUUUAUUUUUUGUCCUCCUUAAGCGUGGUAGGGAGGACGAGGAGGAGGGCUGCAAAAAUGCUGCCUCGCAGGAGGCAGACCUGGAAAGGGGCCUCAAACUGAACCCUCAAAGGCGGCACCCCUGCGGGUGGGACACUCGCUGGAGUUACUGUCGCCGCUCAUGCCCUUUCUCUGUGGAUGUGAGAGGCCGCGCCGCAGGAACCGAAACACCCGCUGCUCAAAGCAUUGCCGGGGAGAGGGAUUUCCAGAUGGACAUACGGAACGGGAGUGGCUUUCAAAAACGGGCUUUUUGGAUGAGCACUGGGGAAAAUACUGAUGUUCAGGUGAAAUGUCCUUCGCUGGAGGCUGAGGCUCCACCGCCACCAGAUUUUACUGGAAAUAUUUUAAUUGUGUGUUGUGAAAGAGCGUUUGGAGAAAGAGCAUGUUCUAAUCUGAAAGACUUUCUGGUGUUCCUCUGUACAGGUUAA
rnacentral:lncRNA from 12 species